AUUGAACGCUGGCGGCAGGCCUAACACAUGCAAGUCGAGCGCGAAAGUUCUUCGGAAUGAGUAAAGCGGCGGACGGGUGAGUAAUACAUGGGAAUCUGCCUGGUAGUGGGGGACAACGUUUCGAAAGGAACGCUAAUACCGCAUUCGCCCUACGGGGGAAAGGGGGGGAUCUUCGGACCUCUCGCUAUCAGAUGAGCCCA
rnacentral:rRNA from 1 species